UUUAAAGUAAUGGCUCGAUUUUUUUUACUUAAUAUUGCUGUGAGUUUUAUUGUUUUUUAGACUUUAUUGGCGUAUUAAAUCACCGAUAGCUCGCAGAUGGCACGUACCGUUUGAAAGCCUGGUUAAAUUACGUCAUAUUAUAUUUAAGAGUAUUAAAAAUGAAUGUUUGAAACCCCCUCCGGCUUAAUGAGAAUCUUUAUAAAUUUAUUGCACGUAGAGAAAGGUAAAAAAGGAGUUACUUUCACUGUAUUUAUGGCAGAUGAUCAAGAUAGAUCUAAUUAACACACCAAUUCAAAUAUAGUGUGUCUUUUAACAUGGAUCUUCAAAGGUGAUAUAUAAAUCUCUUUACUAUACUCGUCUGGGGAAGUGGAGAAACGAUUCACCACGCAUAAUACCACAUGUGUACAUAAUAUAUUAUAAUGAUGAUGAUAAUAAUAAUAGUAGUACAAGUAAUAAAAGUUAGACUACAGAACAGUAGUCUUUAAGGUAUUGCGCAAUCAUCUAUGAGUAUAAACAUCUCUUCAAUCAUCAGCAUUAACAGGUAGCCUUGUGUACCUGUAGAUGAUACCAGCAGCAAAGAGAUGGCGUCAGGUACCUGCACAUCAAAGUCACCUUUCAGUUUCCUGUUGCGUUGUAAAUUUAAUGCAAUAAACUACCAUCAUCAUCUUCAAUUAAAAUUAAUUUUGCAGAUACUUACAAUCCUAGAGACUCAAACGCCUGUACAGAAAUGUACAGUACUGAGGAAUGCAUUGCCGUCAGAAUGGGGACCAGCAC